GUGCCAGCCGCCGCGGUAAUACGGAGGGUGCGAGCGUUAAUCGGAAUUACUGGGCGUAAAGCGCGCGUAGGCGGUCUGGUAAGUCGGAUGUGAAAGCCCAGGGCUUAACCUUGGAACUGCAUUCGAUACUGCCAGGCUAGAGUAUGGUAGAGGGAGGUAGAAUUCCACGUGUAGCGGUGAAAUGCGUAGAGAUGUGGAGGAAUACCGGUGGCGAAGGCGGCCUCCUGGACCAAUACUGACGCUGAGGUGCGAAGGCGUGGGGAGCGAACAGGAUUAGAUACCCUGGUAGUCCACGCGGUAAACGAUGUCAACUAGCCGUUGGGGGCCUUGUUGCCUUUAGUGGCGCAGCUAACGCGAUAAGUUGACCGCCUGGGGAGUACGGUCGCAAGAUUAAAACUCAAAGGAAUUGGCGG
rnacentral:rRNA from 2 species